rnacentral:tRNA from 1 species
GGCCUCGUAGCUCAGCUGGUAGAGUGUGCGCUGUACAAAAUCGUAGGCGGUAUCCAUGCGUAGGUUCGAAUCCCCCCGAGGCUA